rnacentral:rRNA from 1 species
CUCAACUGGGAGAGGUCGUUCGAAACUGUGUAGCUAGAGGCCGGUAGAGGCGAGUGGAAUUCCCGGUGUAGUGGUGAAAUGCGUAGAUAUCGGGAGGAACACCAGAGGCGAAGGCGGCUCGCUGGGCCGGCACUGACGCUGAGACGCGAAAGCCAGGGGAGAGAACGGAAUUAGAAACCCCGGUAUUCCUGGCAGUAAACGAUGUCAACUAGGUGUAGGGGGUGUAGAAGCCUUCUGCGCUGCAGCCCACGCAGUAAGUUGACCGCCUGGGGAGUACGGCCGCAAGGCUAAAACUCAAAGGAAUUGACGGGGGCCCGCACAAGCAGCGGAGCGUGUGGUUUAAUUCGAGGCAACGCGAAGAACCUUACCAGGGUUUGACAUGUCGGUGGUAGGGAGACGAAAGUCGACUGACCCUUCGGGGAGCC